GCGAGGACUGAGGUCUCAGGGGGAAAGGCCCCUCCUGGGGGGACUGGAUACCUAGGCUUGGAGACAACUCACUUCAAAGCAGAGAAGGUGACACAGACCCUAAGAUCCUGUGGGGGCUCAGCCCCAGCCGAGUCUGGUGGGGGAACCAGAGGCAAAAUGGGGCAGGCACAGAUCAAGACAGUCUCAAGCGACCCCUCUCUGCCUCACCUCCCCCAACUCCAGUCCAAAACCAAAGCGCAUCUCCUGGGGAGACUGAAGCCCAGAAAGGACUAGGGACCAGCCUGAGGCCACACAGCUAAGCGCCUCCUCUCAAAGCUCCUGCAUAGCCCAGAGUCAAGGGGAAGAAGGGAGGAGCAGAGCUUCAGGGCAACCCUUAGGAGGAGCUGGGAUGCAGGAGAGCUCUUGGGUUUCAACGGCUUCCUCGGGCCUCAGUUUCCCCACCUGCUGUUGGGAUGGGCCGGUUCAGAACAGACAAGAGGCUGACGCCAGGCUGCCACCUACCCAAUAUCCGAGGCGUCUCUGUGUGGGUGGCAGUGACUCCCAGACAACUUCCCGGAGAGUUUAAGACCCCCUCCCAGGUGGAAACUGAGACCCAGAGAGCCGUGACUUGACUGAUCCCACAGCCAGGAAAUGGUGGAGCCUGGAUUUGAACCCCAGCUUUUAAGAAGAAGGUGCCACUGUCCUGGAAGAACUCUCAGGACAGCAUUAGUGUCUCAGGGAUCCCCCUAAUCGGAGGGGCCUUAAGGCAACCUAAUCAUGAUUGUCACUGAAGAUCCAGGAGGGCUUCCUGGAGGAGGAGGCAGCUCCAUUCUGAAAUGCCAAGGGUACAGCUUUAUUGGGACAGCCAGUGUCUCUGAAUAUGUAGGUUUUGCACAGAGCUUGUACUGCCCCAGGGCCUGUACACUGCCUGUCCCCUCUGCCUUGUGCACUCUUUCCCUAGAUGUCCAAAUGGCUCCUUUCCUCACCUACCCCAAAUCUCAAUUCCAGUGUUUCCCCAGCCUCCCCUCAUUUCAGUAAUCACUCUGCAGUGAGCUAGGAUUGCGCCACUGCACUCCAGCUUGGAUAAGAGAACAAGACCCUGUCUCUUAACUAAAUACAUAAAUAAAAAUAAUUCCCCUCUUCAUCCCUCUUUACCCUGUUUUGAUGGUUUUGUUCAACUUUUCACCAAUAGGACUUUCUCUUAUGCAUUUACUCGUUUCUCUUCCAAUCCCUCCC
rnacentral:lncRNA from 10 species